UUUUUCUUUUUUUUUUUUUUGAAGUAUAGUUGAUUUACAAUGUUGUGUCAAUUUCUGCUGUACUGUAUAGUUACCCAGUCAUACAAAUAUAUACAUUCUUUUUCUCAUACUAUCUUCCAUCAUGUUCUACCUCAAGUUCCCUAUGCUAUACAGUAGGACCCCAUUGCUUAUCCAUUCUAAAUGUAAUAGUUUGCAUCUACCAACCCCAAAUUCCCAGACCAUCACACUUCCUCUCCACUGGCAACCAUGAGUCUGUUCUCCAUGUUCAUGAUCUGUUUGUUUGGUAGAUAGGAUCACUUGUGCCAUAUUUCAGAUUCCACAUAUAAUGGGAGAAAAUCUUUGCAAACAAUGCAACAGACAGUGGCCUAUUCUCCAAAAUAUACAAACAGCUCACAAAAUUCAAUAACAACAACAAAAAACCCAAUCAAAAAAUGGGUAGGAGACCUAAACAAACAUUUCUUCAAAAAAUAUAUUUGGUUGGCCAGCAGGCACAUGAAAAAAAUGUUCACAUCACAAAUUGCUAGAGAAAUGUAAAUCAAAAUUACAAUGAGGUACCAUUCAGAAUGGCCAUUAUUAAUAAGUCAACAAAUAACAAAUGCCGGAGAGGGUAUGGAGAAAAGGGAAUCCUCCUUCACUGUUGGUGGGAAUAUAAAUUGUUACAACCACUAUGGAAAUCAGUAUGGAAGUUCCUUGGAAGACUAAAUACAGAAAGAACUUACAAAUGAUUUGGCAACCCCACUCCUGGGUGUACAUCAGACAAAACUUUCAUUACAAAAGACAUGUGCACCCCUAUGUUCAUAGCAGCACUAUUCACAAUAGCCAAGACACAGAAACAACCUUAAAAUCCAUCAACAGAUGAACGGAUUAAGAAAAUGUGGUACAUGGAAUUCCCAUCGUGGCACAGUGGAAACGAAUCUAAGAACAAUGGGGUUGCUGGUUCGAUCCCUGGCCUUGCUCAGUGCGUUAAGGUCCAGUGUUGCCAUGAGCUGUAGGGCUCGCAGAUGUGGCUCGGAUCCCAAGUGGCUGUGGCUCUGGCGUAAGCCAGCAGCAACAGCUCUGAUUAGACCCCUAGUCUGGGAAGAUCCAUAUGACACAGGCGCAGCCAUAAAAGGCAAAAGACAGGAAAAAAAAAAGAAAUUGUGGUACAUAUAUAUAAUGGAAUACUACUCAGCCAUAAAAAGGACAAGAUGAUGCCAUUUUCAGCAACAUGGAUGGGACUAGAGAUUCUCAUAUUAAGUGAAGUAAAUCAGCAAGAGAAAGACAAAUACCAUAUGCCCCUGAUUUCUUUUUUUUUUUUUUUUGUCUUUGAUAUUUCUUUGGGCCACUCCCAUGGCAUAUGAAGGUUCCCAGGCUAGGGGUCCAAUCGGAGCUAUAGCCACCAGCCUACGCCAGAGCCACAGCAAUGCAGGAUCCGAGCC
rnacentral:lncRNA from 1 species